rnacentral:lncRNA from 1 species
AUGGAGGUGCACCGGCUCCACCUCUCCAGGGUCGCUGCCAGACCUGAACGUGUGAGAAGACCGAGAAGGAGGCCCCGGCUCAACGGCCUCCAACCUCUUCCAGUCCUCCUCCCACCGUGGCUUGGGCCUUUUGUACCCGCCCCACGUGACCCCGCCGGCCGGCUCUUCCCUGCUGCCCCGCCCCGCCCAGCUCUUCCCGCUCUCGGCCUCCCCCCUCCCGCGCUGCCGGGUCUCCACCUCCCCUUGCCUCCCGCCCCAGGCUCUUCCCGCUCCCUCCCACAAGCAGCCGUUCCCUCGCGACGCUCCCCUCCCCACGCGGCUGUUCCGCCGCCUCGCCUCCCCUCCCCCCGUCCAGAACUCACUGUCUCCAAGAUGGCGGCCGUGUCAGUUUGGGACAUUUCAGCGGUCCGGCCUGGGGUCUCUCCUUUCUCCCGGCCGAGGAAACAACUCCUGAGACUCACUGCCACCGCCACCAGCGUCAUUCUUCUGGCGAUGCCCCCCGCCUGGCAUUGUGAAACUCCAGCUGGUCUUCCUGAGCCUGCAGGUUCUGAGUGUCUGGAUCCCGUCCCUGACCCUGCCUACUCCCAGGCCUCCCGUUAG